AUUUAAGCCUGACUUAAAUCCUGAGAGGAAUCUAACCUAGAGAUAUAUUUUCUCCUCAGGGCUUAUUUUAGCUCAUGGUUGGAGAUGGUUUGAGAGGUUUGAAAGGGUUUUAAAGCUUAUAUUUUAAGCUUUAUCUCAUAGGUUAGAGAUGGUCUUAAUCCAACAUUUUUUUGUAGUAGCUCCUCUCAGAUCAAAUGGUUGUGAUUCUAAGUAGAGGUGUCAAAUUAACUCAUUUGGUUGUUAAUAGGUACACAUUAAGACAUUUAAUUUGAUUUCACCUUACACCAUCAUCAUCACUAUUAAUGUCACUCUUAUAUUAUGGUGAUAUCAAAUUAAACAAGUCUUAAUGGGUACGCAUUAAUAACCCAAUAAGUUAAUUUACCACCACUAAUUCUAAGUACCAUCUACUACCAUGUAACAAUGUUACUUGAGGUAAUUGGCUUUAGUCGGUUUUUCUUUUUAGGCAAACUUUAUUUGAAAACAAAAGAAAUGCAAUUGAUGAAGUUCAAGAAAAAGACACGUAGUUAGCUUGACGAGUGCAGCUCU
rnacentral:lncRNA from 1 species